rnacentral:rRNA from 1 species
GGCGGUGCCCAUCUGGCUCUAAGCGUAGUAUUUCUUUCUCGCUCCCAGGGCUUUGGUGGUCUCCUGCCAGAACCCCCCAUAUUCUAAGGUUGACCUCGGAUCAGGUAGGGAUACCCGCUGAACUUAAGCAUAUCAAUAAGCGGAGGAAAAGAAACCAACAGGGAUUGCCUCAGUAACGGCGAGUGAAGCGGCAACAGCUCAAAUUUGAAAUCUGGCCUCUGGUCCGAGUUGUAAUUUGUAGAAGAUGCUUUGGGUGAGGCUCUGGUCUAAGUUCCUUGGAACAGGACGUCACAGAGGGUGAGAAUCCCGUACGUGGCCGGUAGCCUUCGCCUAUGUAAAGCUCUUUCGACGAGUCGAGUUGUUUGGGAAUGCAGCUCAAAAUGGGUGGUAAAUUUCAUCUAAAGCUAAAUAUUGGCCAGAGACCGAUAGCGCACAAGUAGAGUGAUCGAAAGAUGAAAAGCACUUUGGAAAGAGAGUUAAAUAGUACGUGAAAUUGUUGAAAGGGAAGCUCUUGCAAUCAGACUUGCGCGCUGUUGAUCAUCCGAGGUUCUCCCCGGUGCACUCGGCAGCGCUCAGGCCAGCAUCGGUUUCGGCGGGUAGAUAAAGGCCUUGGGAAUGUAGCUUCUUUCGGGGAGUGUUAUAGCCCUCGGUGCAAUGUACCCUGCUGGGACCGAGGACCGCGCUCG